rnacentral:rRNA from 1 species
ACGAACGCUGGCGGCAGGCCUAACACAUGCAAGUCGAACGCUCCAGCAAUGGAGAGUGGCAGACGGGUGAGUAACGCGUGGGAACCUUCCCAGUGGUACGGAAUAGCCCAGGGAAACUUGGGGUAAUACCGUAUAAGCCCCUAGGGGGAAAGAUUUAUCGCCAUUGGAUGGGCCCGCGUCGGAUUAGCUAGUUGGUGAGGUAACGGCUCACCAAGGCGACGAUCCGUAGCUGGUCUGAGAGGAUGAUCAGCCACACUGGGACUGAGACACGGCCCAGACUCCUACGGGAGGCAGCAGUGGGGAAUAUUGGACAAUGGGCGAAAGCCUGAUCCAGCCAUGCCGCGUGAGUGACGAAGGCCUUAGGGUUGUAAAGCUCUUUUGGCGGGGACGAUAAUGACGGUACCCGCAGAAUAAGCUCCGGCUAACUUCGU